rnacentral:rRNA from 1 species
GACGAACGCUGGCGGCGUGCCUAAUACAUGCAAGUCGAACGAGUGGCGGACGGGUGAGUAAUGCCUGGGAAACUGCCUGAUGGAGGGGGAUAACUACUGGAAACGGUAGCUAAUACCGCAUACCAUCGGAUGUGCCCAGAUGGGAUUGGCUAGUAGGUGGGGUAAAGGCUCACCUAGGCGACGAGCCCUAGCUGGUCUGAGAGGAUGACCAGCCACACGGGAACGGAGACACGGUCCAGACUCCUACGGGAGGCAGCAGUGGGGAAUAGUGCACAAGGGGCGCAAGCCUGAUGCAGCCAUGCCGCGUGGAUGAAGAAGGCCUUAGGGUUGUAAGGUACUUUCAGCGGGGAGGCGUUACCCGCAGAAGAAGCACCGGCUAACUCCGUGCCAGCAGCCGCGGUAAUAC